AAGAUUAAGCCAUGCAUGUCUAAGUGUAAACGACUUUAUACAGUGAAACUGCGAAUGGCUCAUUAAAUCAGUUAUAGUUUAUUUGAUAGUACCUUUUACUACUUGGAUAACCGUGGUAAUUCUAGAGCUAAUACAUGCUAAAAAUCCCGACUUUCAUGGAAGGGAUGUAUUUAUUAGAUAAAAACCAAGCCCAGGGGCAACUCUGGUUCUUUUGGUGAUUCAUGAUAACUUCUCGAAUCGCAU
rnacentral:rRNA from 1 species